rnacentral:rRNA from 1 species
GACGAACGCUGGCGGCGUGCUUAACACAUGCAAGUCGAACGGAAAGGCCUCUUUCGGGGGGUACUCGAGUGGCGAACGGGUGAGUAACACGCGAGUAACCCGUCCUUGACUUUGGGAUAACUCCAGGAAACUGGGGCUAAUACCGGAUAGGAGCUCUUGCUGCACGGUGGGGGUUGGAAAGUUUCGGCGGUUGGGGAUGGACUCGCGGCUUAUCAGCUUGUUGGUGGGGUAGUGGCUUACCAAGGCUUUGACGGGUAGCCGGGCUGAGAGGGGGACCGGCCACAUUGGGACUGAGGUACGGCCCAGACUCCUACGGGGGGCAGCAGUGGGGAAUAUUGCACAAUGGGUGGGAGCCUGAUGCAGCAACGCCGUGUGCGGGAUGACGGCCUUCGGGUUGGAAACCGCUUUCGGUCAUGGCGAAGCUUUGUGUGACGGUAGUGGGUAAAGAAGCACCGGCUAACUACGUG